CUGAAGAAGGAUAGUUUAGCUUCAGCUGGAAGGUACUGAACCUGUUCCAGCCUCCGCUUGUUUUACAGAAAGAUUCACUUUGCCCCAUCAGCCAACAGAAUGAAGCAUGCUGCACUUUAGCAGGUCAAACCAGCUUCUGCAAAGUUUGUGAUGGAGAUAAACAAGAGGACGAACGUGCGCACAAUCACUUCUUUUCAUGCUGCAGCAGGUUGUAAGUAAUAACCGUCAGGGGAAAACGGAUCAGAAACCUUUGGAGCAGGGGAAUUUUUUUCUCUUUUUCAAAUCCAGCAUAUAGACAGAGAACCGAACACAGGAAAUCACGCUGCGCUCCAGACUUAACAUUCACUCGACUCUGCUUUCAGUCUCGGCGUUCCUCCCUGGAGCUUUUUCCUGGAAAAAGUUGAGCUCCACAAUGAGAACCCUGAAUAAUUCAUUAACCUCUAAUAAGACCGAGUUCACAUACAUCACCUCAGCUCAAGGUGAAAAUGCAGGAGCUUGGGCCGAGGCGUCAUUGACGCCGACCCUGUGUGGCUCAGCCGGGCCCACCGGCGGGUUUCCCCGUACUUACUGGGCUGGAUGUGGUAAAAUAUAUUUGCUGAUACUGGAUGAGAAAUCCAUCACGAACAACAGUGAAUAAAUCAGGGUUUUUUUUUUUCCAAGGUUGUGUAUUUUUAGCAUUUUGUUUGUUGUUUCUGGAUGGUGCCUUCAGGUGCUACUGUGAAAACCUGACAGUUCAGCAUCCACUUGCACCUACUUGAAAAUGGAUCCAAAUGAACUACGUGAUCCAUCAUCAUUAAAGUGCUUUUUUGUCUAUCAUUUACUAACAUGCAUUAAAACCUUCACAAACGCAGAGAGAAGAUCCAAACUCCACACACAAAGAAACGGUUUUGGAGCAAUGCUUGGAACUGGCUCUAGGAUCGAAAACAAAAACCAGAAACUUCAGAUUUUUUAAAUGUUCCAGAACAGACACAUCAAUCUGAAAUAAUGGUAAAUGGUAAAUAAUGCUACUUUUUAAAUUUUAUUACAAACUAAAAUUUUGCUGCUUGAAAUAAAAGCAGAAACUAGACCCUGACCAAUAUCAGUUGGCCAAUAAUAUCGGCCAAUAUUAUCCUUCAACUAACACAUUGUAUGUGUUAUUUUUGCCAAUAUGAAUAACGCACAGAAAAACACUUUGGGUGUUGGAAAUGUUGUCGUUAUGCAGUUUGUACAGCAGAAGGCACUUAAAAGGCAUUGUUUACAAUGCUGCCAACUAUAGCUGGGACCCCAUCACCCCUUGGCCACAUUAGCUACAAGAGACAGAGGCAAUGGGACCAGCUGCCAUUCGCUGUCAAUCUGAGCGAGUGUUUUACAGUGACAAAAAACAUGUGUCACUAUGCCGCCAGCUAGGUGGGGCCAAAAUAGAACAGAAGUUUAUUUUGAACAAUGUGACAGCGACUGUCAAUCAAAGUGAAGGCAGCGUUAUGCCAGCGUCAUGCAAGUUGUUCGGUUCACAUUUAAACUGUAAAACAUCAAACCUGAAUUAAAACUUUUUUUCAUAAGGGCUUUUGCAUGAAGAUGUAUGCAGCCUAUAAUCAAUAAAGAUUUUUAUCAUUUCUAAUAUAUACGUAUAGUUUUGUCACAGCCGUAUGUAGAAAGUUACUAACGAGUAUUUAAUUGGUUUCUAACCAGUUUGUGAAUUUUUAGGUACAAACCAAAACCAAAAAUUCUAAAGUACAGAUUUUGCUUGAAAUAAAUGGAUUACAAAAAAAUUCUAGUAUGAAGCCCUGCUUUGGAGGAAUCAAACCCUCAGGCUUUUUGGUGUGAAGCCACUUUAAUGUUCUGCUUUAGUCUAAACACAAGUUAUGCUUAUAGUUUGUUGGUGAGCAAAAUACCGGUAAACAUUUUACCUGCGCUGCUGCUGCCCCUUGUGGUGACACCUCAGUACCACACACUGACCCCCAGUUAGCUUUGUGCAUUCAAACCGCUGCUGUUUUCAUUUCUUUUCCGUUUAUUCCUGUUUGAAAUCACAACGUGAAGCAUGUGAAAGCAACUGUUGUAAUCGAUUUGAAUGUUUUGGCUGAAGACACUCUUUAUGAAUCUGUUCUGCGUUUCCUAAAGUAAAAUAGGGUGUGUUGUAAAUAACUAAACAGGCGGGGUCAGAGGGAGACGGGGGUUGUGCGUAACAAGUCAAGUGCAACAUAAGUUUGUUGGUAAAAUGGGGAGCCAAAGGGUUGAGACAGGAAACGGGCUAAAACCGAAGGUGUUGUGAGCAGACCCGUGCCACCAUGCCGCAGAGAAAAGACAGGAAGAGAA